UUUUGAAUGAACCAUCCCCAGUGUACAAAUCAGAGAAUGGAUAUAUAUUAAGAUUAUACAAUUUGCCAAAGAUGCCACAGGUCGGAUCAGCAAUCUUCACAGCAUCUGCACCAGGAGAAGAUUCCACCUCAAGAAACUACUUUAUUUGAUCAUCCAUAAGAAGCAACUCUUCAUCGGCUCAAGGUUUAUCAGGAUGACAGUAAUUCAGUCAAAUCCUCAGGCUCCACUUCUAAUUCUAGUUCUCCACCACAUCUACAGUUACUUCCUCCACUGGGGUCUUGAGCCCCACAAAGUCAUCCCUGAGGGUUAGAAUCGACUUCAUCCAAUCUACUGUCCGUUGAUAUUUUCCAUUUUCCCAUGAAUCAUGAAAGUUCUUAAUCAUAUCCAGAAUAAUGAAUCCUUUUCAGAAGUUUUUCAGUUUACUUUGCCAAGAUGCACCAGAGAAAUCAUCAUCUGUGAUACCUAGAGCCUUAUGAAAUGUAGUUCUUAAAUAAUAAUUUUGAAAGUCAAAAUUGCUCCUUGACCCAAGGGCCUCAGAAUGCAUGUGUGUUAGAAGGCAGGAAAACAACAUUAAUUGCAUUUACAUCUCCAUCAGAGUUCUUGGGUGACCAGGAGUGUUGUCAAGGAGCAGUAGUAUUUUGAAAGAAAUCAUUUCUUUCUGAUAAGUAGUUUUCAACAGAGAACUUAAUAUAUUCAGUACACCAUGUUGUCAACAGAUGCGCUGUCAUCCAGGCUUUAUUGUUCCAUUUACAGAGCAAAGACAGAUUAGAUUUAGCACCAUUCUUAAGGGCUGUAGGAUUCUCAGAAUGGCAAAUGUGCAUUGGCUUCAACUGAAAGUCACCGGCCACAUUAGGCCCCAACAAAAGCGUCAGCUGUGAAGCCAUAUCCUCUCUACUCUAAAAGUCUUAGAUUGCAUUUUCUUCCACUAUAAGGCUAUUUUAUCUACAUUGACAAUCUGUUGUUUAGUGUACCACCCUCACUAAUUAUCUCAGAUCUGCUGGAUAGCUUGCUGAAGCUUCUACAUCAACACUUGCUGUCUCACUUUGCACUUUGAUGUUCUGAAGAUGGCUUCUUUUCCAUAAACCUCCUGAACCAACCUGAGCUGGCUUUGAACUUUUCUUCUGCAGCUUCCUCCCCUCUUUCAGUCUUCACAGAAAAGAAGAGAGUUAAAGCUUUGCUCUGGAUUAGGCUCUGGCUUAAGAGAAUGUGGUGGCUUAUCUGAUCUUCUAUUCAGAUCACUAAAACCUCUCCAAAUCAG